GCAGUGGUUGCAGUGCAGCCUGCUAUGUCCCUGAAUGUGGAUGCUGUGAACAUGCAGUGGAUGCAGUGAUCCUGCAGUGAUUGCAGUGUGCCUGCAUUUCCUCAAAGCUGGUAGCAGUGUUGCUGCAGUGGUUGCAGUGCCGCCUUCUGUGUCCCUGAAGUUGAAUGCAGUGCCCAUGCAGUGGAGGCAGUGUACCUAAAGGUUUAUGCAGUAUCUUGUGAUGGAGGAUGCAGUGUGCAUGAAGGUGGAUGCAGUGUCCCUGCAGUGGUUGCAGGGCCUCCGGCAUUGUGCUGGAAUGUGGAUGCAGGGGUCAUGCAGUGGAUACAGUGUCUCACAAGGCAGAUGCAGUAUGUUUUGUCAUAGGAUUCAGUGCCCAUGAAGGAUGAUGCAGUGAUCAUGAAGAUAUUGCAGUGCACCUGCAGUGCCAAUUCAUCAGGAUGCAGUGUCCCUGCAGUGGUUGCAGUGUCACCUGCAUUGUCCCAGAAUGUGGAUGCAGUGCCCAGUCUUUACAUGCAGUGUCCCACAAGGUGCAUGCAGAAUGUUGUGACGGAGGAUGCAUUGCCCAUGAUGGUGGAUGCAGUUAUCCAGCACUGGUUUCAGUGCACCCUGAUGUGUCUCUGAAUGUGGAUGCAGUGUCCAUGCAGUGCAUGCAGUGUCCCACAAGGUGGAUGAGGUAUGCUGUGACGGAGGAUGCAGUGCCCACGAAGGUGGAUGCAAUAUGUUGUGAUGGAGGAUGCAGGGCCCUUGAAGGUGGAUGCAGUGAUGCUGCAGUGGUUGCAACGCCUCCUACAGUUCCCUGAAUGUGGAUGCAGUGCCCAUGCAGUAGUUGAAGUGUCCCAAAAGGUGGAUGUCGUAUGUUGUGAUGGAAGACACAGUGCCCAUGGAGGUGGAUGCAGUGAGCCUGUGCUGAACGCACUGCGCCUUCAGUGCGACUUAAGCUGUAUGCAGUGUCCCUGAAGUGGUUGCAGUGCCCAAUGCAUUGUCCGAGAACGUGGAAGCAGUGCCCAGGCAUUGGAUGCAGUGUGCCACAAGGUGCAUGCAGUAGGUUGUGACAGAGGAUGCAGUGUCCAUGAGGGUGGGUGCAGUGAUCUGGCAGCAGUUGCAGUGCACCCUGCUGUGUCCCUGAAUGUGCAUGCUCUGAACAUGCAGUGGAUGCAGUGAUCCUGCAGUGAUUGCAGUGCGCCUGCCUUUCCACAUCAGCUGGAAGCACUGUCCAUGCAGGGAUUGCAGUGCCAUCUUCUGUGUCACUGAAGGUGAAUGCAGUGCCCAUGCAGUGGAUGCAGUGUACCUAAAGGUUUAUGCAGUAUGUUGUGACAAAGGAUGCAGUGCCCAUGAAGGGGGAUGCUGUGUCCCUCCAGUGUUUGCCGUGCGCCCCACAUUGUCCGGGAAUGUGGAUGCAGUAGUCAUGCAGUGGAUGCACUCUCCCACAAGGUGAAUGCAGUAUGUUGUGAAGGAGGAUGUAGGGCUCAUGAAGGUGGAUGUAGAGUUGCUGCAGUGGUUGCAGUGCCCCCUACAGUUCCCUGAAUGUGGAUGCAGUGCCCAUGCAGUAGUUGCAUUGUCCCAUAAGGUUGAUGUUUUAUGUUGUUAUGGAAGAUGCCGUGGCCACGAAGGUGGAUCUACUGAGCCUUCAGUGAUUGCAGUACGCCUUCAUUGCCACUUCAGCUGAAGUCAGUGUCCCUGCAGUGGUUGCAAUGUCCCCUGCAUUGUCCGGGAUUUUCGAUGCAGUGCCCAGGCCUUGGAUGCAGUGUCCCACAAGGUGCAUGCAGUAUGUUGUGACGGAGGAUGCAGUCCCCAUGAAGGUGGAUGCAGUGUCCCUGCAGUGCUUGCAGUGCCAAUGGCAUUGUCCUGGAAUAUUGAUGCAGUGCCACAGCAGUGGAUGCAGUUAAAGUUCAGUGAUUGAGGUUCGCCUGCCAUGCCACUUCACCUGGAUGCAUUGUAGCUGCAGUGGUUGCAGAGACCCUUGUCAUGUCUCUGAAUGUGGAUGAAGUGCCCAUGCAGUGUCUGCAGUGGGACCCAAGGUGGAUGCUGUAUGUUGUGAAGUAGGAUUCAGUGCCCAUGAAGGACGAUGCAGUGAUCCUGCAGUCAUUGCAGGGCACCUGAAGUGCCACUUCAUCA
ensembl:lncRNA